rnacentral:tRNA from 1 species
GAGGGUAUAGCUCAAGUAGUAGGACGCAUGCUUAGCAUGCAUGAGGUCCUGGGUUCAACCCCUGGUACCUCCU